ACGAACGAUUGCGGCGUGCUUAACACAUGCAAGUCGAGCGAUGAAGUUUCUUCGGAAAUGGAUUAGCGGCGAACGGGUGAGGAACACGUGAAGAAUCUGCCCUCCACUUUGGGAUAACACAGGGAAACCUGUGCUAAUACCGAAUAUUGAAACAUAAGUGGCAUCACUGAGUUUUGAAAGAAUUUCGGUGGAGGAUGACUUCGCGGCCUAUCAGCUAGUUGGUGAGGUAAUGGCUCACCAAGGCAACGACGGGUAGCCGGCCUGAGAGGGCGACCGGCCACACUGGGACUGAGACACGGCCCAGACUCCUACGGGAGGCAGCAGUGGGGAAUAUUGGGCAAUGGAGGAAACUCUGACCCAGCGACGCCGCGUGCGGGAUGAAGGCCUUCGGGUUGUAAACCGCUUUCAGUAGGGAAGAAGCGAAAGUGACGGUACCUACAAAAGAAGCACCGGCUAACUAUGUGCCAGCAGCCGCGGUAAUACAUAGGGUGCAAGCGUUGUCCGGAAUUAUUGGGCGUAAAGAGCUCGUAGGUGGUUCGUCACGUCGGAUGUGAAAACCUGAGGCUCAACCUCAGACCUGCAUUCGAUACGGGCGAACUAGAGUAUGGUAGGGGAGUCUGGAAUUCCUGGUGUAGCGGUGGAAUGCGCAGAUAUCAGGAGGAACACCAAUGGCGAAGGCAGGUCUCUGGGCCAAUACUGACACUGAGGAGCGAAAGUGUGGGGAGCGAACAGGAUUAGAUACCCUGGUAGUCCAGACCGUAAACGGUGGGCACUAGUUGUGGGGACCUUCCACGGUCUCUGCGACGCAGCUAACGCAUUAAG
rnacentral:rRNA from 1 species